GCCUCGAUAGCUCAGUUGGUAGAGCGCCUGGCUGUUAACCAGGAUGUCGUUGGUUCGAGUCCAACUCGAGGCG
rnacentral:tRNA from 3 species